rnacentral:rRNA from 1 species
GUUACUCAAGUCAGAGGUGAAAGCCCGGGGCUCAACCCCGGAACUGCUUUCGAGACUGCGGACCUGGAGACCAGUAGGGGUUGGUGGAAUUCCCGGUGUAGCGGUGGAAUGCGUAGAUAUCGGGAAGAACACCCGUGGCGAAGGCGGCCAACUGGGCUGGAUCUGACGCUGAGGCGCGAAAGCGUGGGGAGC